CAAAGAGAAAAGUCACGGUCACAGCCAUUAAUACGGGUCCCAAUCACACAGACUAAGGAGGAGCCGAUGAGAGUUCACCGCUACCAUAGCUGGGCAGGAGAAGCCCCAAGGGGGAUUGGCGGCUCGAAAUCUAGGAAGGACAACGAUGGGAACAAAGUACAAAUCAGAGGGAUCUUUGGACUACAACUGAACACCUAGGAAUUUCAAUCAAGAAAAUACCAACAUCCUUACGGUUUGACAAGAACUGAAAAUCAUCCAUCAGUUGCGACGGUGGAGAAGUGCCGAGUCGGUUAGCCAGAUCAGUCUGUUUCUGGUCACAUUCUGGGGCAUUAGGGUAUGAAUUAUACAGGAAGAAAUAACCAAAACAUACAUAAGCACACACGUUUUUAUAUGGAUCACAGUAUUCAGACCAUGUUGUGUCCCAAGUCCCUCAGACUCAAGUCAUUUUCAUAUGCAAAAUAGAUUCAUUCCAUUAAAA